rnacentral:rRNA from 1 species
UACAGAGGGUGCGAGCGUUAAUCGGAAUUACUGGGCGUAAAGCGUGCGUAGACGGUUAUUUAAGUCGGAUGUGAAAGCCCCGGGCUCAACCUGGGAAUUGCAUUCGAGACUGAAUAGCUAGGGUGCGGUAGAGGGAAGCGGAAUUUCCGGUGUAGCGGUGAAAUGCGUAGAUAUCAGGAGGAACACCAAUGGCGAAGGCAGCUCGCUGGGACGGUACUGACGCUGAGGCGCGAAAGCGUGGGCAGCAAACAGG